UACGGGGGGAGCAAGCGUUGUUCGGAUUUACUGGGCGUAAAGGGCGCGUAGGCGGCGCAACAAGUCACUUGUGAAAUCUCCGGGCUUAACCCGGAGCGGCCAAGUGAUACUGUCGUGCUAGAGUGCGGAAGGGGCUACUGGAAUUCUCGGUGUAGCGGUGAAAUGCGUAGAUAUCGAGAGGAACACCUGCGGCGAAGGCGGGUAGCUGGGCCGACACUGACGCUGAGGCGCGAAAGCCAGGGGAGCGAACGGA
rnacentral:rRNA from 1 species